AACGCACGAGACCUGCGGACCUGCGGAAGGAUCAUUAAUGAGUUGCAAAACUCCCUAAACCAUUGUGAACCUACCUGUACCGUUCCUUCGGCGGGCGGCGUCAAGCCCUAACCCGUCUCCCUUUACGGGGGAUGGACCCGCCGGAGGCUCCUAAACUCUUAACUUUUGUUGGCAUCUCUGAGUAAAUCAAAAUAAGUCAAAACUUUUAACAAUGGAUCUCU
rnacentral:misc_RNA from 1 species